AAUCAACGCUGGCGGCGUGCCUAACACAUGCAAGUCGAACGCGAAAGCCCCGUAAGGGGCAAGUAGAGUGGCAAACGGGUGAGUAACACGUGGGUGACCUGCCUUCGAGCGGGGGAUAACGUCCCGAAAGGGACGCUAAUACCGCAUGACAUCCUGCCUUUGAAGAGGCGGAGAUCAAAGCCGGGGAUCGCAAGACCUGGCACUCGAAGAGGGGCCCGCGCCUGAUUAGCUAGNGGUGGGGUAAUGGCUCACCAAGGCAACGAUCAGUAGCCGGCCUGAGAGGGCGGACGGCCACACUGGGACUGAGACACGGCCCAGACUCCUACCGGGAGGCAGCAGUGGGGAAUUGUUCGCAAUGGGCGCAAGCCUGACGACGCAACGCCGCGU
rnacentral:rRNA from 1 species